rnacentral:tRNA from 1 species
GAUGGCUCAGUGGUUAGAGCACUGGCCGCUCUUCCAGAGGACCUGGGUUCAAUUCCCAGCAUCC